CUGGGCCCUGUUCUGGAUGACCGGGAGUCAGCAGUGAGCAAAACAGAGCUUCUCUGCUGGAGUUCGCACACUCGUGACCACAAGCAAGCCAACAUGGCAGGCAGGGGAAAAUAAAGCAAGGAAAUGUCCUAGAGGCCAAAGGCCACGGUCCUGGAAGACAUUCUGAUUCCAGAGAAUAAAUGAAGAGACUGGGACUUGGGAACAUCCUAGUUAAUCCUGAAAUCCUAAUAAAUGUUAACAAAAGGCUCAUAUUCUAGGACAAAACGGAUACUUGAUUUAACUUUCUGUACCAUCGGACCCUGUGUUGGUUCCAAGGCACUAUGACAAACAGGAGACAGCGCCGAAAAGCUGAAC